AUUGAACGCUGGCGGCAUGCCUUACACAUGCAAGUCGAACGGUAACAGGUCUUCGGAUGCUGACGAGUGGCGAACGGGUGAGUAAUACAUCGGAACGUGCCCAGUAGUGGGGGAUAACUACUCGAAAGAGUGGCUAAUACCGCAUGAGGUCUACGGAUGAGAGCAGGGGAUCGCAGGACCUUGUGCUACUAGAGCGGCCGAUGGCAGAUUAGGUAGUUGGUGGGAUAAAAGCUUACCAAGCCGACGAUCUGGAGCUGGUCUGAGAGGACGAUCAGCCACACUGGGACUGGGAAACGGCCCAGACUCCUACGGGAGGCAGCAGUGGGGAAUUUUGGACAAUGGGCGCAAGCCUGAUCCAGCAACGCCGCGUGCAGGAUGAAGGCCUUCGGGUUGUAAACUGCUUUUGUACGGAACGAAAAGCCCCGGGUUAAUACCCUGGGGUCAUGACGGUACCGUAAGAAUAAGCACCGGCUAACUACGUGCCAGCAUCCGCCGCAG
rnacentral:rRNA from 1 species